rnacentral:rRNA from 1 species
CCCUUAGAUGUUCUGGGCCGCACGCGCGCUACACUGACGAAGUCAGCGAGCAUGUCCUACGCCGACAGGUGCGGGGAAUCUUGUCAAACUUCGUCGUGAUGGGGAUUGAUUAUUGAAAUUCUUGAUCAUCAACGAGGAAUUCCUAGUAAGCGCAAGUCAGCAGCUUGCGUUGAUUACGUCCCUACCCUUUGUACACACCGCCCGUCGCUACUACCGAUUGAAUGGUUUAGUGAGAUCUUCGGAUUGGCGCCACUGCGGCUCAGCAAUGGGCUCGGUGGAUGCCGAAAAGUUGAUCAAACUUGAUCAUUUAGAGGAAGUAAAAGUCGUAACA